rnacentral:rRNA from 1 species
CAGUAGCCACGGGAAUACAGAGGGUGCGAGCGUUAAUCGGAUUUACUGGGCGUAAAGCGUGCGUAGGCGGCUUCUUAAGUCGGAUGUGAAAUCCCUGAGCUUAACUUAGGAAUUGCAUUCGAUACUGGGAAGCUAGAGUAUGGGAGAGGAUGGUAGAAUUCCAGGUGUAGCGGUGAAAUGCGUAGAGAUCUGGAGGAAUACCGGUGGCGAAGGCGGCCCCCUGGACAAAGACUGACGCUCAGGUGCGAAAGCGUGGGGAGCAAACAGGAUUAGAUACCCCAGUAGUCCCUGUCUCUUAUAA